rnacentral:rRNA from 1 species
CUGCAUGGCUGUCGUCAGCUCGUGUCGUGAGAUGUUGGGUUAAGUCCCGCAACGAGCGCAACCCUCGCCUUUAGUUACCAUCAUUCAGUUGGGGACUCUAAAGGAACCGCCGGUGAUAAGCCGGAGGAAGGUGGGGAUGACGUCAAGUCCUCAUGGCCCUUACGCGCUGGGCUACACACGUGCUACAAUGGCGGUGACAGUGGGCAGCAAUCCCGCAAGGGUGAGCUAAUCUCCAAAAGCCGUCUCAGUUCGGAUUGUUCUCUGCAACUCGAGAGCAUGAAGGCGGAAUCGCUAGUAAUCGCGGAUCAGCAUGCCGCGGUGAAUACGUU